UUAUAUUAUUAAAUAAUCCUAGAAAAACAGC
rnacentral:piRNA from 1 species